rnacentral:rRNA from 1 species
CCUACGGGUGACAGCAGUGAGGAAUAUUGGUCAAUGGACGAGAGUCUGAUCCAGCAACGUAGCGUGAAGGAUGAAUGCCUUCUGGGUUGUAAGCUUUUUUUAUAGAGACGUAAAACGAGGCUCGUGUCUCUUUUUAAUUUUACUUUAUUUACUUGGAACGUCUAACUUCGUGACGGCCGACGCGGUACUACGGAGGAUCCGAGCGUUAUCCGGAUUUAUUGGGUUUAAAGGGAGCGUAGUUGGGUUGUUAAGUCAGUUGUGAAAGUUUGCGGCUCAACCGGAGAAUUGCAAUAGAUACUGGUAGACUUGAGUGCAGGUGAGGGAGGCGGAAUUCGAGGUGUAGCGGUGGAAUGCGUAGAUAUCACGAAGAACCCCGAUUGCGAAGGCAGCUUACUAAACUGUGACUGACACUGAGGCUCGAAAGCGUGGGUAGCAAACAGGAUUAGAUACCCCAGUAGUC